CAGUCGCCGCGGUAAUACGUAGGGGGCAAGCGUUAUCCGGAAUAACUGGGCGUAAAGGGUGCGCAGGUGGUUUAACAAGUUAGUGGUGAAAGGCAUAGGCUCAACCAAUGUAAGCCAUUAAAACUGUUUAACUUGAGUGCAGGAGAGGAAAGUGGAAUUCCUAGUGUAGCGGUGAAAUGCGUAGAGAUGUGGAGGAACACCAGUGGCGAAGGCGACUCUCUGGUCUGUAACUGACGCUGAGGAGCGAAAGCGUGGGGAGCGAACAGGAUUAGAUACCCCAGUAGUCCCUGUCUCUUAUACC
rnacentral:rRNA from 1 species